rnacentral:lncRNA from 1 species
AAAAGUGUUUUGGUGUAAUAGUAUUAAUACAUUAAAUGUAGGAGAUUUAUCUAAUUUAAUGGACAGAAGCUUCUUAAAUGAAUCUCCUGGUGAUGAUAUAUUAAACCUAAAACAAAUAUUUGAGGUUCUAUAUUUGUAUUGAUAGUACAUUUUAAAGGUCUCUAGAUCCUAACCUUUUAGUUUCCUUCUGUUUUCUCCAGUAAAUUCAAGGGCCAGUAACAUCUAGUUUGUGUUACAAUUUUACUAAAGACUUAUUUUGUAGGAUUAACUUGCUUUUGUCUGUUAUGAUAUUAAAUUAUAAGGUUUUGAAGAAUACACAUUGUCCCUUGUAAUUUCUGGUAGCCAGUUUCUAUCAACCAGUUUUAUUUCUUUACUUUCACUAAUAUGGUAUUAUUGGCUUUGAGAUAUGUAAAAAGUCUGCUCCUCUAAGCAAAUUAGUUGAAUAUAUGCUUAGGUUGUGAAAAAUGAAAGCAGAAAUGCUUAAUAUACUUAGCUUUCUGUGUUUGCAGUUCUUGUCCUAAAAAUUGUUAUACCUUUAUAACCUGACUUUCAGUUGUUAGAAAUUUUUUUGAACCAUUGGAAAUAGUAAUAGCCCUGUUGCAUGUUUUGACCUUUAGUGUUGAUAAGGCAUAGAAUUGUCCUUUGCCUCUAUUCAGGGAGAUAGUCUUUAAUAAAAGAGCCGUAAUAUAAGAUGGAUUUAGCAAAUACAUGUUCUUAUUAUAUUUUGUAUGUGUAUUUAUAAAACCGGUAUGUACGAUUAUGUCUGAUACAUUUCAGAUAGAGAUGUUAGAGAUGGCUGCACCUGUUGACUGCAUCAAGCCUUGGGUCUCUCCUAAGGAGGCAGGGAGCAGGCCUCCCCACUGUCUCAGUGCAUCAUUCCUCCUUGAGAGUGCUUGGAUUGUGAGCGAUUUAAGAACUCUGUUCUCAGGACCCAUUACUUUAACAUUGAGGAGAAACACAUCCAGAAGGAAAAAUUCUAUACUUAGAAUUGCUACAUCAAGGGGCAUACAACAUUUUAAGAAAUACAAGUUUUUAGCUUCAUUGAAAUGUAACUGACAUAAAAUGCACAUAUUUAAGGUAUGCAAUUUGAUAAAUUUUGACAUACGUGUAUACCCAUUAAAUUAGCACCACAAUUAAGAUCAUGCUCUUUUGUAAUCCCAUCUUCUUAUAACUUUUCACAACUAUUCCCAGACAACCACUGAUCUGUUUACUCUCCCUGUUGAUUAAUUUGCAUUUACUACAUUUUCAGAAUCACACACUAUGUAUUCCUUUUUGUCUGGGUUCUUGUAUUCAGCACAGUUAUUUUGAAAUUAAUUAAUGCUGUUUAUAUCAACAGUAUAUCAUUUUUUGUUGUUGAGUGCUGAGUAGUAAAUGUUCCAUUGUAUGGAUAUACCAUUAUUCAUUCACCUAUUGAUGGGAAUUUGAGUUGUUUCCAGUUUUUGGCUAUUAAAAAUAAAAUUGCUUUGGACAUAGAUGUGGAAGUCUUUCUAUGUACGUAAAAUAUUUGAU